CAGUCGCCGCGGUAAUACAGAGGGUGCGAGCGUUAAUCGGAUUUACUGGGCGUAAAGCGUGCGUAGGUGGUGGUUUAAGUCCGUUGUGAAAGCCCUGGGCUCAACCUGGGAAUUGCAGUGGAUACUGGGUCACUAGAGUGUGGUAGAGGAUAGUGGAAUUUCCGGUGUAGCAGUGAAAUGCGUAGAGAUCGGAAGGAACAUCUGUGGCGAAGGCGACUAUCUGGGCCAACACUGACACUGAGGCACGAAAGCGUGGGGAGCAAACAGGAUUAGAUACCCCCGUAGUCCCUGUCUCUUAUAC
rnacentral:rRNA from 1 species